GCCCUAUGCAACUUAGUGAGUCUCUGUCUCAAAAUAAAAUAUAAAUAAAGAGCCAGGGAUAUGGCUUAGUGAUUAAGUAAGUGCCCCUGGGUUCAACACCUGGUACUAGAAAGAGAAGGAGAAAUACGAAGUGUGUUAUCACCAAUGGUUAGGUACUUCCCCAGAUAUUUUCCUCAUCUGUAAAAUGGGAAUAUUACCAUUAUCCUAUUUCAUAGGACUGAAAUGAGAAAAAAUGCAGGCAUGAUUCUUAUGAUACAGCAUGAUCAUAGUAACUGCUUAAUCAGUAAAAUGUUAGCCAGAGAUAAUAAAUGAGCUAAUGAUUGUCAACUGCCUGAUAGAAGGGGCUCCCUUUUUACCCCCUCCUGCAUUUGAGAAGACAGGACAACAAGCUGAGGACACCUGAAGACACAGGAUGCUGGUGGCUAAUCACAGGUACUUUUCCACCUCCUCUCUGAUCCCUCCUGUCUGAUAGGGGGCCCAGAAGGGGAUCCUGGGGAUUACUGCCAGGUUCCUCAUCCCCUAGCUCCAGGCUAGUUGCCAUGGUCUGGAACAGAAAAACCUUGAACGAUUUCAGCCUGCAUCGACUCCUUAGUCAAAGCUGCUGUUUCAGCAGCUGCUUCACAAGCAUUGCCUCUGGCCAGUUACAUAACUUUUGGCAAGUAGCAACUUCUCUGGCAUCAGUCCCCUCUUCUGGAAACUUAGAAGGGUUACUAAUUGCCUUUAAGUUUCCCAUUAGCACAAAAACGUUACACAGUGCUCCCAAACUCCUGUUGUUUCCUUGCUCUGUUCCCACCCAGCCUCUUCUCAGGUCCUCUGUAGAAGCUCUUCUAUUGAAUAUUCUUUCUGGUUCUGUGCUCUCUACCUCUGGAUGCCUUUUCUUCUUUCUUUCUUGGCUUCUGGUUGGUUGAGUUUAAAACUCUCAUCGCCCAGAGGCCAUAAGCAGUAAGACUGGUGAUCCCCUGUGCCUAAGCCUGCCACCAGUGUGGAAGCCAGUGCCCUUUGAGAGUCUCAUUCUUGGAUUUACAACAUGCAGAGGCAUGUAGACAAUCUCGGCUGCAUCCUAAAAAGUUCUUCUCUUCUUCAUUUAGACACUUAAGGCAGAGGAAAGCAGACUUAAGACUCCUCCAGAGAUAGAGAAAGCAACAGAUGCCUUCCAUUUGACUUCCCAGAGUGUCAUGGAAGACUCUUAGAUUCUCCUGAAGUCAGCCGGCAAUGUGUCCAACCAGUCCUUGCCCUUGGAGGUCUGCACUCAGAAAGCAGCCCACCACCUGUGCUCUGGAUCAGAGGAGGUCAAAACUUAAGCAGACGCUGCACUAUUACCACUGAUGAAUCCCACGUGGAGCAGUGGAGCUGGAAGAGACCUUUUUUUAAAACCCAAGGGAACAGGAACAUAAAAUGAUCACACCAUAUAAAAAUGAACAUGCGUGUUUACCAGAAAAAGAUCAGAGAAAACAUAAAAUGCUGAAUAGAUUAAUCUCUGGAAAAUGGUGAUCCAGUGGAAUAAGUGGGAGUCCAGGAAAAGAGAAUGUUUGCUGUGCACUUCCUGAAAGUCCUGUGAAACUCCAGAGACCAUCACUACACAGCAACAUCAAAAGAACUUGCCAAAAAUGGAGUCAGGGCAGCACCAAGGGCACAGGAGUCAUGCCCAUGUGGUGAUGCUGCCUGAGAAGGAGACCUCUCUCACUGUACCCCUGGGCUGCUGGCAUCUGCAGUGACGGGAUCAUGAGGCUGUGUCCAGAGCCCCCUGGUGUGCAUCAGGAGGUCAUCCACCCUUGUUUCCUGGACACACUCUACUGUUUAUGUGUGUUCUUCUUUCUAUUUCCCAUAGGUAGCACAGCCCCUGUCCUUGACGUCUUCCUACACAGGAAUUCCUAGCACAUCUGCCCGGCAGGUGGAUCCUGCUCCCGCUCCCAGCCUCCUUCCUUACACUCAUUCAGAGCGAUAUAUGCACAUGCUAUUCCAGAGAUGCUAAAUAAAGUGCUUUUACAGCUUCA